rnacentral:lncRNA from 1 species
GUUAAGUAAUCUGUGACCUACUAUACCUAUUCAUUUGGGGAGAAUUACAAUGCAAUUUCAAUUUCAAUUGAAGUCUCUGACCCUUAUUUACUGAAUCAUAAGUAUUUCAUCCGAUUGUAUUUGUGAGCCAAGAACACUUUCUACUUAUUUGGGGAUGCUUCUUUUUAUUAUUUCCUCAGGAUAAGACAAACUUAGUGAGUGGAAGACUAGUUGUGUGGGAGAAUAAUAACUUAUAAGACAGGUUUUCACCCAAGUGCCAUAGAAAGACUGUCAUACAUUGAUGAUGAUGUGAAAUGUGAAUUUAAGGCCUAUUGUUUAAUCCAUUGCUCUUUUUAAUACAUUGACUUUUUAGUGUGGUAGGGCAGCCGAGAAGUUAGCAAUAUUUCAUUAUUUCUCAAGUAAAUCAACUCAAAAGAUCAUUACCAAAAUAGUAAAAUUCCACGUAUUUUCACUAUCUGCCAAGUACUAAAACCCAGCGUCAUCUUGUCAUAAAAAAAUAGCAAUAUAUUGGAAUCCUUUUUGAAGUCUUCAGUGCCCAAAGUAUGGAAGAGAUCAGUUAACAAAAAUGCAUUAAGAGGAAGAAUAAUAGGAUUUAUGGAUCUACUUUUAGUUUUGUUUUGUUUUUGCAUUUUCAUAAUGUUUAUUGAUAUGGAGAUAUUACUUUUAAACAUGCUAUAGUUUAGCUUACAUUUAGAAUACAUUUCCUGUAAAUGAAAAUGCACAAUAGUAAGCAAAGUUACUAGUACGGAUUGACCAUUGAAAUCCCAAUGAGGGUUCCAGGAGAGUAAGCCCUUGGAAAAGUCUCUUGUUAUGAUGGAACCAGGAAAGUCACAAGCAUGACAAGGAAUAUGUUCUGUGAAAAGAUGCCCCACGUGUCCAAAUGCCUGGAGACACUGGAUGAUCUUUUUUCCAGAAACAACAACAGCAGUUUUAAAUAUGAUUCAGCAAUCCCAGUGAACUUCGAUAUUCAAAGAAUUAGAAAUCAGUAUAUUGACAUGACAACUACACUUCCAUGUUUAUUGCAGCACUAUUCACAAUAGCCAAGAUAUGGAGUCAACCUAAGUUGAUUAUCAACAUAUCAACAGAUGACUGGAUAAUGCAAAUGUGGUUUAUAGCACAAAGAAAUGCUAUUUAGCCUUAACAAAGAAAUUAUUGUCAUUUGCAGCAUCAUAGAUAGAUCUAGAUAACAUUACACUAAAUGAAAUAAACCAGGAACAGAAAGACAAGUAUUGUAUGAGCUCACUUAUAAUGGGGAAUCUAAAAAAAGUAGAAAUCACAGAAGCAGAGAGCAGAAUGGUGGUUACUAGAGGCAGGGGGUGGGAGACAUGAGCAAGGAAAGGGGAGAUGUUAAUCAAAGGAUACAAGGUUUCCUUUAGACAGGAGAAAUGAGUUCUAGUGAUCUACCGCACAGCGUAGUGCCUAUAGUUAAUAAUAAUGUAUUGCAUAUUUGAAAAUUGUUAAUAGGUUUUAAAUGUUCUCACCAAAAAUGAAUGAUAAAUAUAUGAGGUGAUAAUAUGUUAAUUAGCUACAUUUCAUCAUUCCACAGUGUAUACAUAUAUCAAUACAUCACAUUUUGCCCCAUAAAUAUAUAGAAUUAUUAUUAGUCAAUUAAAAUCAAAUAAAAUUUUGAAGGGCAGUGCUUAAAUUUCAUUAUUAUGCAAUAUACUACCUAUUUGAUCUUUGUCCAGUCACCCAGCCUCACUGUAUCAUUGUUCUCCUCUCCAAAAAAUAAAAUGCUAACCAAUUAAAGAGAAGCCAGAGGAAAGCAAAUAGAAGCAAAUUAAAGUAUGUUGCAUAUACAUAGUUAAAUUAUGAAUUAUCUACUUGUAUGUGAAUAGGACCCUCCGACAUGCACUCGUAUUUUUAAAAUAAAACAUAGCCUAGUGUUCCCCUGUUGGAAUUAUAAGCAUGUGCCACUCAGAAAUCAUAUGUCAGGAAAUAACUUUGCUCUGAAAACGUUCCAUAUUUUUUUCUUUUUAUAGAGUUCUGGACUACUUGGUAAUUCCACUUAUCAUUUGACAGAUUACUUAUCUGUGACCUGUUGUACCUAUUCAUUUGGAGGACAAAAUCAGUAGCCUCUUUAAGUGCAGUAAGAUUAGUGAUGACUUUGUUUGUCAUCACAAACCAAGACUGUUUUCAGGACAGUAAGUCCCACACCUAGGUUUCAGUGGAAUUUGAUUUGUAAGAACAAAUCAGUGCUUUGGAAAUGUCGUUCUUAUUUUAAUGAGUUUAUAAUUAAGCAGAACACAGGUUGUUUUCUUUGCAGAAUCCCACCCACAAGGAUUCUAUUGAUUUACUGUUUAAUUAUAUGAAAUAGCAUGUCAGGGUGAAGGUAAAGCAGAAAACAAAUUAUGAUCUAAUCUAAAAUGUAGAUCUAUAUUAGAAUGAGACUGCUGACCUGUGAAAUACAUUCAAAUAGUAUUUACCAAAAUCAUUCCUAUUGUCAAAAUGAUGAAGAGACAUUUUCUCUGGGUGUUGCAGUGGGGACUGAGACAGCAGAAGUCUCCAAAGGUAAUUGUGAACUUAAAACUCUAAAAUAAUUUCCACAUAUUUGCAUCACAAAAUAUAUUUUUCAUUGUAGAAAGAAUAAUUUAAGUCCCUCAAAGUUUUUUAAAUUAUUACUUAUAGAGGAUAUAGGUUCGGAGACAACAGUGUUGAAUGUAGAAGAACUACUGAAAUUAAAUGCAAGAAUAUUGAAGAUUACGGCUGAGCCUGUUUGUAGUUGCAAAUGUUAUUGCUUUCACUAAAAUUACUUUGAGACUAUUAUGUUGCCAUGAACCUUAUUCAAGUGGCAAGUUUUCUCACCCAAAGUAUGUUCAUCUUUCUCAAAUGAAAAAUUAUCCACAUAUAGAACAGGUAUUUACAAUCAUAAAGCAAAAAAUUAGUUAUUAUAUUUUAAUUAUUAUACCAGGUCCUAUAGGUAGCAUCCACUGAUGUAGCAUCAUUGAAUACUACUUUAUAUAAGACCUGGCAAAAUUACACAUAGGAAUUAGAAUUUUAAAGUGAACAAAACAAUUCCUUUUCUAUAAAAGCUAAAAAUGGCAUUCAAAUGUCAUUAACAUAAAUUAACAUAUAUGCAGAAUAUUGUAAGACCACCAAGGAGGACUCUACAAAGAAGAGGUAAUUAUUUUUAUAUGAAUGGCAGCUUAUUUUCAUAAUAAUAAUUAAUCACAUAUAAUCAUUGGCUUCAUGUGAUGUCCAUUUGUGAAAUAACAUGAUAGAACAUAAAAUGUGUGCUAAGGGUAGAUAAUAUUGGAAAUCUAGAAUAGUACUCAGUUGAGGAGAACCUUGAAGGUCAAACUAAGCCACUAGAUUAUUUUUACUUCCUUGGGGAACACAAAAAGUUUUGUUUACUCUUUCCAACUCUCCGGGAAAUGGCCUGUGUAAAGAAUGCUUAAGAAGUUUGAUCUGAAAAUACAUCUAGAAUAGUCCUAACUGGGCUGUUCUCAGGUACCUUACUUGGAGAUUCCAUAUGAUUUCAAAAGCAUUUCAAUGAUGAAAAGUCUAAAAGAACACAUCCCAAAGAAUAGGCAUGUUAGGAAAUGACUCAGAAUAUCCUACAACUGAUACUGAGAAAGAUGUAGAUCACAGGCUAGGCAAAAUUUUCUGAGGGGUGUGUGGGCAACUAUUAUGUUUUGUUUUGUUUAUUGUAUGUGUGUGUGUGUAUGUGUGUGUCUAUAUAGUUAUUGGAGCACAAGCAAGGGCAUACAUACUCUGGGGGAAAAAAAUCUUCCAAACUCCUUUUACAAGGCCAGCAGUACCCUCUUGCCAUAACUAGGUAAGGAUACUACAAGAAAAUAAAAUUAUAGACCAAUAGGCCUGAUUAAUGUAAAUGCAAAAACUCAAAAAAAAAAUCAAAUUCGGCUUCACUUUAAAAGGAUUAUGCAUCAUGAACAAGUGAAAUUUAUCCCUUGGAUGCAAGGAUGUUCAACAUGUGCAAAUCAAAAAAUGUGAUACACCAUGUUAACAGAAUGAAAAAUAAAAAACAAAUGAUAAUCUUAACGCAGAAAAAGUAUUUGGUAACAUUUAAUGUCUUUUCAUAACAAAAAAUUUCAACAAAUUAUGUACAUAAACAAUGUACCUCAACAUAGUAAGUGCCAUAUACUACAUAUAAUAAGCCUGUAACCAAUGUCAUAUUCAAUGUUAGAAAUCUGAAAGCUUUUCGUCUAUGAUGAGAAACAAGAUUAAGAUGCUCACACUUUCUACUUCUGUUCAAUAGAGUACUGGAAGUCCUACCCAGUCUAACUAGGCAAGAAGAAGAAAUAAAAGUCUUCUGAAUCAGAUAAGAAGUAAAAUUGACUCUGUUUGCAGGUGACAUGAUCUUAUUUAUAGAGAACCAUAAAGACUAUUGGAAAAAACUCUCAAAGGAUCAUCUUAUAAUACAAAAUAUUCUUUACUUCAGGAGGCACAUGACUGAUGCCUGAUCCAAUGUCAGUGAGUUCUCCUGGUCCAGGGGUAAGCACAUGAAUUUCCAACUUUCUUGUCUUGAGAAAGCCAGAAAAGAAUAGCCUGGGCAUAACCUGAAGAAAUUUGAGAAAUUUCUCUCCCAGCUUCUACCUGGCUCCAGCUUUCAAGCCAAAAUCAGCUCCUGACUGUUCCAUCUCACUGCUAAACUAUUAUAUAAGGAGUGGAGGUUCUGGGACAAUUACAUUGCAUCCUUAUAAGACUAAGUCAGAGGAACAUAUGUCUAAUUAGAGUCUAUCUUAGUGCUGGCUGCUAUAACAAACUACAUUGGACUGGAUAAUUUAUAAACGACAGAAAUUUAUUGCUCACAGUUUUGCAGCCUGGGAAAUUCAAGACCAGCAGAUCGUCUGGUGAGAGCCUGACCCCCAUAGAUGAUGUUUUUGUGUCCUCACAUGACAGAAGGGGUAAACAAUCUCCCUUGGGCUUCUUUAAGGAGGACAUUAAUCUCAUUCACAAGGGUGGACCUCUUAUGACCUAAUUAUCCCCCAAAGGCCUAAAUCUCAAUAUUACCACAUUGGGAAUAGGGUUUCCACAUAAGAAUUUUGUGGAGACACAAACAUUCAGACCAUAGCAUUUCAUCUAAGUUCAAUUUUUAUUUUACUGCUUGAGACAAAAGGUACCUAACACAAGAAAGAAAAGGAUUUAAUCUGUAUAGAGUUAUCAUUGAAUCUUUUAAAUUUUUUACUUUCAAACAUAAGAUACUUAAUAGCUGACUCCAAAUAUACUAUUAAUUUUAUUUACUUUUGACUAAGUGAUAGUAAACACAAUAACAUUUGCAAAAUUGCCAGUAAACAGAUGCUAGUUGAAUUUUUUUUCUAUCUUAUCUUCUCAAGUUGAAGUAAAUUAAGAUAUCAUAUAGAGCAGUGCUUUUUAAUCUAAUUGAAGUAGAAGACUUUUUUUAUUUAUUUGUUUUCUUCUUUAAUUCCCAAUUGAUCAUAGACUAGGCCAUUUUUUUUUUUUUUUUUUUUUUGUAGAGUACAGAGAGAGAGAGAGAUAAUGUGCAUGUGCUUGGAUUUUACACUGAAAUCAUUCUAGAAAUUUCUAAAUGCUUCCUCUCAAAUUUUGUACUAAUUGUAUGACAGGCUAGUAGCAGUUUGUUGAUUGAUUGAAAUUGUGUAAUAUUAGAAAUAAUGCCAGAGAAUAUUGUAUUAAAAACUAUUUGCUCUAAAGCUUUUCCCUCCAAUAGCUCUAUGACACCUUGGAAUUCUCUAGUGAAGGCCUGAGUCUUAUUCGUUGUAUCCAUAACUUAAACUGAAAACUGCCUGAGACAUAGUAAGUUACUAAAAACUAUUAGUAGCUUGAAUAUAUAAAUUAAAUAAUCAAAGUAGUUUCAAAAUGCUCAAGAAUCCUGAACUUCCCUGCCUUGGGAGAACCAGUUACUAUGGUAUUAUAAAAAUGACAACAACAACAAAAGUGAAUAUAUUUAAUUACUUACCUCAAAUUCUAUAUACCUCAGGAAUACUUGGAAUUGAAUUAAAAUAACUUUCGGCCCUUAAAGGCCAUUUGUAGAUGAAGUGGGUUAACCUAGACUGUGAAAAUGGAAGGGCCUUAGGAUAAUCAAGCCUGUGUUAAUUCCAGUGGCAGACCCUCUUGUGGCACAUUCUAGCCUGAACUUUCACAGGACACUUCCUUUUCUUUCAAAUGGGCACACUGAUACUUACCUUGUGUAUUAGCCUGCUAGGGCUGCCAUAUUGGAGCAACACAUUUUUUUUUUCCUCUGACCAUGUGCAAUCGUGUUUGUCUCUCCCAUCUCAUAAGCAUACAAAUCUUAUUGGAUUAAGACCUUAUCUUAAAAAUCUAAUUUAACGUUAGUUACCUUCAUAAAGGCCUUGUCACUAAAUACAGUCAAAUUGCAGAUUACAGCUUCAAUUUAUGAAUUUUGGAGAAGGCUUUCAAUAUAGUUCACAACAGUUUGGUAAAUUGUUGUGAAAAGUUAGAGAUAAUCCAUAAGAAGCAUGUUUCAUAGUAUUCACUCCAUAUUGACCUGUCAUUAAGUUAUUACCAUUACUAAUGAAAUGUAUUGUUACACUAGGUAUUGGUUGUUAACCAAUGCAAAGUGAUGCAUUAUGUAUUUGCAAACUUCCUUAAAAACAAAUACAAUUAAAUGAGAGUUUUAAUAAAGUAGAAAAAUGUAAGUUUUUUCAAAAAGGAGUAAUAUCCAUGUUUACUCUAAGGCUACAUGAGAGUUGAGUACAUGAGAAAAGAACAUUAAUGAUACUAAUGAUAACAGCAAUGGUUUAAAUUGGCAGAUUUUAAAGGAUAAAGUGAUGGUCUAGGUUAUCUGAUCUCACAGUUAAUGACAUUGACAUCUUAACCUUGCCUUAACACAGUAGCAAGUAUCCAAACUCGCUGAAGAUUUAAUUUUUACCAAGUCUUUUUUUUUUUUUUUUUUUUUCAGAAACCAUCAUGAUUACUAAUUGACAAUCAUAUUUUAAUCAUGUCUUCAUAGUGGUUUUCUUAUGCAGCAUGAAUAAUUUCAUACCAUCUGUAUUACUCGACUUUCAUAACAAACCUCUGCCAAAGAAUUGAAAACUAAAUGUGCGAAUCUAUUCACUGCACUGAGCUCAUGCAUAAACUACAAGAGAAUGUUUGAGAAGUUAUCUAUGUAUUUGCGUAGGCUUUACAUUUUUUCUUUCAUUCUUUCUUGAGGCUUUUUACUCUGUCACUUUCCCCACCAACCACCAACAUGGCAAGUAGCUGCCUGGGCUCCUAGCUGGUUCCAUCUGUGGACCCUCUGUUUCAAAUUAUUUUUGACUUAUGAGUGGAAGGAAAACUUAAUGGUUUGCUCCAUCCUCUGCCCUGGAAUAAAUUUUUGUGCUUUGGGAAACUUUGCACCACUCUGGCAAUUUUCUGUUUCUUCACUCAAUAUAGGAUUCUAAUUGCGAAGGCCAAAAGCUAACACCAAGUAUCCUAGCAGAGUGGUGAGUGAGUAGUGAAAAAAUUACUUACCGAUAUAUAUAGUAGUUACUAUUCAGGGCUAUAUUAAUUCUUUCCUAUUUUGAGUACUAAAUUGACAUAGCUUUCAGAUGACAGCUGUGAUUGUCUCAAAAUGUGUUCGUUAUUACAUUUUGAAAUGAUAAAUCUCCCUCUUUCCUGAGGUAGAACGUGCUUCCAGUGCAUCUGUAGUGUUCUCAAAAAGCAGGAAGACAAUGCUCAGAGUGAAUGAACAGUGUUUAUAGAUCUAAAACUCCUUUGAGCUGUAAAGUACAAAGGAUAGAUAUUAUGAUCUAGUGAUAAAAGGAUCAAGUCCAGGGUUUCACCCAGAGGAUUUGGGGCAUAGAACUUAUAGAAACAUAAACCAAAGGACGCAGCCAAACAAUGUUAGGAGGAGUUAGCUAAGUACAGAAAAUUCCCUUAUGCAGAAUGUCUUCUGCUGAUUUUGUCCCCUAACUUUGCAGUUAUAGUCUCUCCCUACCCACUCCCUAUGCAAUAAAAAACCCUUUCCCCCAUAGCGAUUUUAUUCAAAGUGAUUCAAAGUGUUUAGCAUCAAGCAGAUACAGCUAAAUAUUUCCCUGACUACCUGGGUGACUUUGGGCAAGUUUUGUUUCUUUUCAGAGUUCAAGUGUUCCUAACUUGUACAAUAGUGAUGAUGAUAGGAUUUCUCUUCUAUCAUGGUAAUGGGAUCAAAUGGGUUAUUAUAUGGAAAGUGUUUACAAGUUUCUUAGCACAUAGUAGGUACCAAAUAGUGUCCAUAAAUACCUGCUAUUUUCAUGUGGAGAGAAACACAUAACUAUUUUUUUAAGACUUUAGCCUUUCUUUUGUCACCUGGAUCUAAGCUAUCUUGGUCCAAUGGCUUUAUUUUUCACCAGCGGGUCACUGCAUAUUCCUUUUGCCACAGAGUGUACAAUUGCUAUGAGCACUGGUUCAUGACUUCCCUGGGUAGUUGGAAUCAAGCUUCAAGAUGAGUGUAUCUAAUAGAUAACAGUAACUUUCAUUGCAACAGUCUCUCACUUAUAUAAGCUCAGAUAAAUGUCACUAGCACCUAUUCCAAGUUCCCAUAAAAAGGGGAAGCGGCAAUAGUAGGCUCUCCUGGUGAACAUUCUCAAGUGGAUCCAGCUAUACCUGACCCCUGCAUGUCUCCCCAUAGACAAUAGAACCUAUCAUGCCACAGGCAGCAACAAACUUUCUGCCUGAGAUCACAAAUGUGUUUCCUGUUUCUUCAAGACCUUUGUUUGACUCAUUAUGAUCAUCAUCAUUAUCGUCUUUACCAUCACCAUUAUCAUCAUUAGCAGCAGCAGUAGCAGCAGCAAAACCACCAUCACCAUUGGUACACUGUAAAAAAUGUCCUAUGCAUUGUGAAAAGAAUGGAAAUAUGUGACACUUUGUCUUUAUCUUCUAGGUGCUUAUAUAUUAGGUGAUAAUAACAUCAUAGUAAUAAGCCUUAACACGCAUGACACUGGUUCAAACCAGCUCGUGGUCCUCCAUCUCCAAUAUGUAACUGCCUAUUGAAACAGUCUACUUGGCUGCCCAACAGGCAAUGCAGAGCAUAUAAAGACAAAACUGAACACUUAGCCCUUUUCCAUCUCUCAUUCCUGGUAUCUUCUAGUUUCCUAUGUUAGUAAACAGCAUCCCUCUGCAAUUGAGUGCCCAUAUUCAGAAUUAUGGACAAUCCUUAAUUCCUCUAUUGUUAUAAUAUACAUUGACUAUAUCAGGAAGUGCUAUUAGCUCCAACCACAAAGUAUAUUUUGCGUUUUUUUUAAUUCCCUCCAUCUCUACUACGAUUACCCUAGCCUAAGUCAACAUCAUCUCCUGGUCUGACUCCCUGCUUCCAUCCUUCACUUACGACAUUCCAUUCAUUAUCUACUAUGAGAUAAUAAUACUUUUUUAAGAAGCCGUUAUAAUUAAAACAUAAUAAAUUGCCAUUACACUUAAAAUAAAAUCAAAAUUUCUGAUUUUCAUUGUAAGAUCUCAUGACCUGGCUCUUCUUACCAUAUUAAAUCUAUGUUUUAGGGGCUUCAUCUUUACUUAAAAAGUCUGGCCAGACUGGCUUCCUUUCUGUCUCUGAAUUGUAGAAAGCUCAUUCUCAACUCAGAGACUUUACACUUGCUAUUCCCUUUGUCUGAAUGCUUUCAUCUCCUUACCACCUAUCAGGGUCUUUCUCUUUCUGCAGUUGUGAGCUCAGAUAUUACCUUAACAGGAGAUCUCCAAAUUCCACCUUCCUGGUUAAAGCUGCUCUCCACUAUCUACCACAUCGGUCAUUAAAAUUUGUAAUUUUCUCUUCUCAUAUUCAUUUACUCUUUUUUUUUUUUUUUUUUUUUUUUGAGACAGAGUCUUGCUCUGUCACCCAGGCUGGAGUGCAAUGACUUGAUCUAGGCUCACUGCAACCUCUGCCUUCCAGGUUCAAGUGAUUCUCCUGCCUCAGCCUCCCGAGUAGCUGGGAUUACAGGUAUGCACCACCACACCUGGCUAAUUUUUGUAUUUUUAGUAGAGCCGGGCUUUUGCUAUGUUGACAAGGCUGAUCUCAAACUCCUCACCUCAGGUGAUCCAUCCACCUCAUUUAUUCUUUAUGGCAGUUCUCCUCACUAGAUUGUAGGCUCCAUGGAGAAAGGGACUUUGUCUGUAUUAUUCAUGGUUAUAUGUCCAUUCUUAAUAUAGAUAGUGCUCAGGAGACAGAAAGAAAAAGAGAAGCCAAAUGAUGCUAAUAUAGGGGAUUUGUCCCUCAUCAAUGAACAUAUAUGUUCUUAGGACUUACAUAGUGAUACGAUUUCCAUAUUAGACAAAAUCUACUUCUUUAUAUAAAUACACUAUUUUUUAAAAAUACCCAGGGAUUAGUAUAUUUCCUUUGACAUCAGCAUUUAUUUUAUUUCUACAGUACAUUAUCCACCUGAAUUGAAGAAGCAGAACCAGCCAGAAGAGGAAACACUGUAAUAAAAUUAAGAUCUGGACUCUAAUUCUGUUUUAUUUUCUCAACGUAUAAACCAUGAGUAAAUUGUUAAUCUUAAAAGAAAAUGUUUUUCUUCCAUUGUUCCUUUGUAAAGUGGACAUGAUCACACCUGUGUUCAGAAGGAACUGAUUCAGAGCUUGGUGCUGAAGGUAACAAAGCUAUCUGUGUUUGAUCAAGAUUCAAACCCUCAAUGUCUGAGAAAAGCAUCAUAUUCUUUAUCCAAGUGGACUUUGUAUAGAUGCAACAAAAUAUUCAUUCAAAUAUUUUCUAAAGUGCCAGGUCGCUUGAAGUUUACUUAUACUACUAUAGAUUUUAAGCUGCAUUUCACUGUAGAUAAUGCAAAGACAAUUAAAAGAACAGACAAUAAGCAGAUAAAGAGGCAUUAUUUUAUUACUAUGAAAGUUAAUAUGUCAUUUGUCACUGAAAUAGACAUGUCUUUAAUUUGCUUGGCAAAAGAGUGAGUAUAAGGUCUGAAUGUUUAAUCUCCCUAAAGUGUUCAUCACAUUGCAACAGAUUUAAUCUAUUCUCCAUCCAGAAAGACCACCUACAAACAAAGCAAUUACAAUUUGUUGUUUUACAGAUAAUAAAAUAAUUAGGUAUGCCAAGCAUAGGAAAGUAUGUAAUUUUACUGCCGUUUGUAAAAGAUGAUUAGAAGGAAUGCUCCACGGGCACUUCAGAAUUAAUUGAGAGGAACCAGGUACAGAUUUGAUUACUGGUAAUGCUUUUUGGAAGAAUCAGGAAUUUAGAAGCUAUUAAUAAUGAUUGUAAAGAUAAAGUUGGAGAAAGACGUGUUACAGAUGGGAAAAAGUUAUUGUUUUGCAGGGAAGAGUACAGAAUCACCCUUUAUGAUGCUUUGAAAUUCAGUCUAUCUUUGGUUUGGUAUAGAAAUUUGCAGAAAAUAGGUAACUAAAGAUACAUCAUAAGCAGGUUAACAAAUAAUGAUGAAACUGAAAAAACAUUUAUAAUGCUAAUAUUAUAACAACAACAAUUAUUAAUAUGGAGAAAACUACCAAAAGAGGCUGAAAUAUAAGGAGACAUCUUUUUUGGCUUAUUUUGUUUUUGUGUAAUGACCUGAACAAAUUCUCUUUGUAAUUUAAGUAGAAAUAAAAGCUUUAAAACCCUCUGAGGAUAUUUUAGUAGAAUCCUUCAAUGUCCUCCAAAAUCCAUUCUUUAUAGGCAGUAACAGUAUUAAAAAAAAUCAGUUUUCUAGCUUGAAAUACCUAUGGUAAUACUGUGGAUUAUUUUUAGUCAAUUCUAACUGAUGUUAUUUUUGAGAACAUAAAAGAAGUUUAUUGUGUGAUAAAAUUGGAAACCACAAGAUAUGUAUUAUGUCAGAAAGUGAUGGCAGAUAAAUGUCUGAUAAGAAUAUCUAUUAUAAAGGGAGAUGGAACUGAAAUAUAAUAGACAAGAGCCAUUUAAGAAAAUAAAUUACAUCUUAUUCAACAUUUUUGUGGUCUACCUCUUUGCCUCAGAUAUUAUAUGCUCUAUUUCUGUUCAUAAAAUGUUAUUUAAUGCAGUAUAAAGGUUCUCAUCUACCAUUCUAUAUUUUUUUGCAUCACAGCACAAUAUUAUCUGAAGACUGCCUGCUGAUAGGAGAGCAUGUUCAUUCAAUUUUUUAAGCAAUAUUAUUUUCUUUCGGAGAUAUGCAUAAAGAAGAC